AGCAGUGGGGAAUAUUGGACAAUGGGCGAAAGCCUGAUCCAGCCAUGCCGCGUGUGUGAAGAAGGUCUUCGGAUUGUAAAGCACUUUAAGUUGGGAGGAAGGGCAGUUACCUAAUACGUGAUUGUUUUGACGUUACCGACAGAAUAAGCACCGGCUAACUCUGUGCCAGCAGCCGCGGUAAUACAGAGGGUGCAAGCGUUAAUCGGAAUUACUGGGCGUAAAGCGCGCGUAGGUGGUUUGUUAAGUUGGAUGUGAAAUCCCCGGGCUCAACCUGGGAACUGCAUUCAAAACUGACUGACUAGAGUGUGGUAGAGGGUGGUGGAAUUUCCUGUGUAGCGGUGAAAUGCGUAGAUAUAGGAAGGAACACCCAGUGGCGAAGGCGACCACCUGGACCAACACUGACACUGAG
rnacentral:rRNA from 1 species